GAUGAACGCUGGCGGCGUGCCUAAUACAUGCAAGUCGAGCGAACAGACGAGGAGCUUGCUCCUCUGACGUUAGCGGCGGACGGGUGAGUAACACGUGGAUAACCUACCUAUAAGACUGGGAUAACUUCGGGAAACCGGAGCUAAUACCGGAUAAUAUAUUGAACCGCAUGGUUCAAUAGUGAAAGACGGUUUUGCUGUCACUUAUAGAUGGAUCCGCGCCGCAUUAGCUAGUUGGUAAGGUAACGGCUUACCAAGGCGACGAUGCGUAGCCGACCUGAGAGGGUGAUCGGCCACACUGGAACUGGGCCACGGUCCAGACUCCUACGGGAGGCAGCAGUAGGGAAUCUUCCGCAAUGGGCGAAAGCAUGACGGAGCAACGCCGCGUGAGUGAUGAAGGUCUUCGGAUCGUAAAACUCUGUUAUUAGGGAAGAACAAAUGUGUAAGUAACUAUGCACGUCUUGACGGUACCUAAUCAGAAAGCCACGGCUAACUACGUG
rnacentral:rRNA from 1 species